AUUGAACGCUGGCGGCAGGCCUAACACAUGCAAGUCGAGCGGAUGAAGGGAGCUUGCUCCUGGAUUCAGCGGCGGACGGGUGAGUAAUGCCUAGGAAUCUGCCUGGUAGUGGGGGAUAACGUCCGGAAACGGGCGCUAAUACCGCAUACGUCCUGAGGGAGAAAGUGGGGGAUCUUCGGACCUCACGCUAUCAGAUGAGCCUAGGUCGGAUUAGCUAGUUGGUGGGGUAAAGGCCUACCAAGGCGACGAUCCGUAACUGGUCUGAGAGGAUGAUCAGUCACACUGGAACUGAGACACGGUCCAGACUCCUACGGGAGGCAGCAGUGGGGAAUAUUGGACAAUGGGCGAAAGCCUGAUCCAGCCAUGCCGCGUGUGUGAAGAAGGUCUUCGGAUUGUAAAGCACUUUAAGUUGGGAGGAAGGGCAGUAAGUUAAUACCUUUCUGUUUUGACGUUACCAACAGAAUAAGCACCGGCUAACUUCGU
rnacentral:rRNA from 1 species